UCGAGGAUCUUCGGCAAUGGGCGCAAGCCUGACCGAGCGAGGCCGCGUGGGCGAUGAAGGCCUUCGGGUUGUAAAGCCCUGUCGAGGGGGAGAAAAGCCGAAAGGUGUGAUCUAUCCCUGGAGGAAGCACGGGCUAAGUUCGUGCCAGCAGCCGCGGUAAGACGAACCGUGCGAACGUUGUUCGGAAUCACUGGGCUUAAAGGGCGCGUAGGCGGGCUAUCAAGUCCGGGGUGAAAUCCUCCAGCUUAACUGGAGAACGGCCUCGGAUACUGAUGGUCUCGAGGAGGAUAGGGGCACACGGAACUGUGGGUGGAGCGGUGAAAUGCGUUGAUAUCCAUAGGAACUCCGGUGGCGAAAGCGGUGUGCUGGAUCCUUUCUGACGCUGAGGCGCGAAAGCCAGGGGAGCAAACG
rnacentral:rRNA from 1 species